CGCGCAGGCGGUUUUCCAAGUCAGUGGUGAAAGCCCAGAGCUCAACUCUGGAACUGCCAUUGAAACUGUUAAACUAGAGGACGAGAGAGGUGAGUGGAAUUCCCAGUGUAGAGGUGAAAUUCGUAGAUAUUGGGAAGAACACCGGUGGCGAAGGCGGCUCACUGGCUCGUUUCUGACGCUCAGGCGCGAUAGCGUGGGGAUCAAACA
rnacentral:rRNA from 1 species